rnacentral:snRNA from 1 species
GUACUUGCUUCGGCGGUACAUAUACAAAUAUUGGAACAAUACAGAGAAGAUUAGCAUGGCCCCUGUAUAAGGAUGACACGCAAAAUCGCAAAGUGUUCCACACACAU